rnacentral:tRNA from 16 species
GUGACCCAGUGGUCAGAGCAGUGGUCUUGCAGGCGAAUUAGGCUGGUUGAAAUCCCACUGU